GGGCUGGGGCUGAGUGGUAGAGCGCUCACCUAGCAUGCGUGAGGCACUGGGUUCGAUCCUCAGCACCACA
rnacentral:tRNA from 1 species